GAUGAACGCUAGCGGCAGGCUUAAUACAUGCAAGUCGAACGGGAUUCGAGGUAGCAAUACUUUGAUGAGAGUGGCGCACGGGUGCGUAACGCGUAUGCAACCUACCUUUAACAGGUGAAUAGCCCCGAGAAAUCGGGAUUAAUACACCGUAACAUUGCGCUGUGGCAUCACAGUGCAAUUAAAGAUUUAUCGGUUAAAGAUGGGCAUGCGUGACAUUAGCUAGUUGGUGAGGUAACGGCUCACCAAGGCAACGAUGUCUAGGGGUCCUGAGAGGGUUAUCCCCCCACACUGGUACUGAGACACGGACCAGACUCCUACGGGAGGCAGCAGUAAGGAUAUUGGUCAAUGGGCGCAAGCCUGAACCAGCCAUGCCGUGUGCAGGAAGACGGCCCUAUGGGUUGUAAACUGCUUUUGUCAGGGAAUAAACCUUUGUACGUGUACAGAGCUGAAGGUACCUGAAGAAUAAGCAUCGGCUAACUCCGUGCCAGCAGCCG
rnacentral:rRNA from 1 species